UGCACUGGGAUGGUUCGCUGAGGAUCUUGCCAGGGCAGACUGGGAAGAGGAUGGGGAGAAACCCUGCAACCCUCUGGGAUGUAUCAGCUAAACAAAAAUGCAGUCCGGAAAGCAGCAGAUCCCUAGGCUGCAUAAUCAGGAAAGAUAAAGAGCACAUACUUGGGAUGGAAUCUGCUCUUCCUGAAGAGUCCUACAGCCAUCCAGAGUCAGGACAGCCUUCCUCCAUGGGCCGAGUGCUGCCUUCUGCCAGGCCAUCCAGAUUCCUCAACUACAAAGAUGAAGCAAAAGGCAAAGCUGUCCCGUUGGCUCCCAAUCCAAUGACAUGACACUGGCAAGAAGAAGAAGAGGAUGAUUAAACCUAAUCUGAUGUCACUCCCUGCAUCCCCAACCUGGUCCCUACAGAACUUCCCAUUGGAAAAGCAUUGGCUCCAUGCAUUCUCAUAGCACAGGGGUGAUCUGCUUAUCCCCAUGCACCCAGUUCUCCUACUGCCAAAAGGACAGAGCCACAGACCAGGGGAUGCCAAACCCAUGACAGUGUGAAAAGUCACCUCCACCCUGGCACAGCUAAGGAUGACCUCAGCAGAGGGUCUUCAAAAUGAUGAAGGAGAAGUCCAGUUUCAAACUUCCUGGAAUUCAGAAAGGUCCAGUGUGCACUUCUUUAAUUUAAUUACUAUUUACUAUUUAUCAUCCUUUCAAAAGCCAAGAAGCCUGAAGCCUUUAAAGAAUUAGAGAUGUAUACU